GACGAACGCUGGCGGCGUGCUUAACACAUGCAAGUCGAACGAAAAGACGGAAAGAGCUUGCUCUUUUCAGAAUUGAGUGGCAAACGGGUGAGUAACACGUAAACAACCUGCCUUCAGGAUGGGGACAACAGACGGAAACGACUGCUAAUACCGAAUAAGUUCCAAGAGCCGCAUGGCCCAUGGAAGAAAAGGUGGCCUCUACCUGUAAGCUAUCGCCUGAAGAGGGGUUUGCGUCUGAUUAGCUGGUUGGAGGGGUAACGGCCCACCAAGGCGACGAUCAGUAGCCGGUCUGAGAGGAUGAACGGCCACACUGGAACUGAGACACGGUCCAGACUCCUACGGGAGGCAGCAGUGGGGAAUCUUCCGCAAUGGGCGAAAGCCUGACGGAGCAACGCCGCGUGAGUGAUGACGGCCUUCGGGUUGUAAAACUCUGUGAUCCGGGACGAAAAGGCAGAGUGCGAAGAACAAACUGCAUUGACGGUACCGGAAAAGCAAGCCACGGCUAACUACGUGCCAGCAGCCGCGGUAAUACGUAGGUGGCAAGCGUUGUCCGGAAUUAUUGGGCGUAAAGCGCGCGCAGGCGGCUUCCCAAGUCCCUCUUAAAAGUGCGGGGCUUAACCCCGUGAUGGGAAGGAAACUGGGAAGCUGGAGUAUCGGAGAGGAAAGUGGAAUUCCUAGUGUAGCGGUGAAAUGCGUAGAGAUUAGGAAGAACACCGGUGGCGAAGGC
rnacentral:rRNA from 1 species